UAUCCGUCGCGGGCGUUGGAAAUUUGAGAGGAGCUGUCCUUAGUACGAGAGGACCGGGAUGGACUUACCGCUGGUGUACCAGUUGUUCUGCCAAGGGCAUUGCUGGGUAGCUAUGUAGGGAAGGGAUAAACGCUGAAAGCAUCUAAGUGUGAAGCCCACCUCAAGAUGAGAUUUCCCAUUUCUUUAAGAAAGUAAGAUCCCUGAGAGAUGAUCAGGUAGAUAGGUCAGGAGUGGAAGUACAGUGAUGUAUGGAGCGGACUGAUACUAAUCGAUCGAGGACUUAACCAAU
rnacentral:rRNA from 1 species